GUGAACUCCCGCUGAGCUGAAGACGCAGCGGCUUCUUCGGAAGUCGUCGGGUCUGAGGUUUGGUCGCUUUUACGGAAGCUCAAGUUCACCAGACUCAGCCCCAGAAAUGGGAGCUCCGUUCGCUAGGUCAUGUCACCUGCGGUUGACGCAUCAGACCGCUGCUCUGUCGCCUGGGUUUAAGUAGGACUGAGGGAAAGUCCGGUGAUUCAGGUGCAAAAAGCCUUUUGAACCUUGUCGAGAUGAAGCCGGAUUCCUCUGG
rnacentral:sRNA from 1 species